UUCCCUCAAUAAAGGGUCCUUUGAAAGCUCAUAUUUCAAAAUGGCAAUAUUUUUCUCAUCAUGAAAUUGUGACAUGUGUAAUGUCUUGUUGCACAUUACCUGGUAAGGGUGGCCAUCUCCCUGAAGUUAGUAUUACUUUUUUUUUUGUUUACACUUCACACCACUUGAGGCCCACAGUAGGGUUUUGUGAGAGAAGCUGGAGAUAAAUGGCUCUGUACUUCACCAUCAUGGACCUUGAAUAAACUGUUGUGGAAGUCGUUUUGGAGACAAAUUAGGACAAGCAUCUCAGGGAAUCCGUGGCCCAGAAAUACGGAGAAGAAGGUUUGGACAUGCAGUGACUGUCACUGACAAAUCAGAAUUAUUGCCCAUAUAGUCAAACUUACAAAUAAGCAUUAUAUCUGGGAUGAAUUUCAAUUGCCAGUUGGAUUUCUUUCACCUAGUUUGGUUGAUCUUUCUAGGUUUUCAUUGUAAAUUUUAUUUCCUACAUUAUGUGAUGGGCUGACCCUGGUUGGGUGUCAAGUGCCCACCAAAGCUGCUCCAUCACACAUUAUUUUCAUGGGUGAAACAGACUCAGUUUGGGGAAAUUAACAGUAUUUCUUAACAGGAAAAUAAGAAUAGGAUAAUGAGAAGUAAAACCAAAUCUUAAAAAAGUCCCCACCUUAUCCCUACCCCUCCCUCCUUUACAGGCUUAACUUUGUUCCCAGGCUCUCUAUCUCCUCCAGCAGUGCCAAGGGAUGGGAAUGGGAGUUGCAGUCAGUUCAUCACUGCUGCUGCUUCCUUCGCAGGGGAAGGAUUCUUCACAGCCUUCCCCUGAUCCAGAAUGGGGUCUAUCCCCCAGAAGACAAUCCUCCAUUAACUUCUCCCAGAGAGCUGAGGAGACCAAGUAAUAGUCCAGGAGAAGACAAUUUUAUGACUAUGAAGGACACAUAGUUGUCAAGUAUAUUUCUACUCCAAAUCCAGCUGCAUGUCCACUUGUUGUAACAAAUCAGCAGAACUGAUGAACUACGGAGAAAAGGAACCAAGGAGAAAGUGGCAUAUAUGAGUAGAAGCAGUUUUAGAGGCACAGAUUUGUUUAGGCUGCUCGAUGAAUGCAUGAGUUGCUCAA
rnacentral:lncRNA from 1 species